rnacentral:rRNA from 1 species
AACGAACGCUGGCGGCAUGCCUAACACAUGCAAGUCGAACGAGACCUUCGGGUCUAGGGGCGCACGGGGGCGUAACGCGUGGGAACCUGCCCUUAGGUUCGGAAUAACUCCCCGAAAGGGGUGCUAAUACCGGAUAAUGUCUUCGGACCAAAGAUUUAUCGACUUUGGAUGGGCACGCGUUGGAUUAGCUAGUUGGUAGGGUAAAAGCAUACCAAGGCGACGAUCCAUAGCUGGUCUGAGAGGAUGAUCAGCCACACAGGGACUGAGACACGGCCCAGACUCCUACGGGAGGCAGCAGUGGGGAAUAUUGGACAAUGGGCGAAAGCCUGAUCCAGCAAUGCCGCGUGAGUGAUGAAGGCCUUAGGGUUGUAAAGCUCUUUUACCCGGGAUGAUAAUGACAGUACCGGGAGAAUAAGCUCCGGCUAACUCCGUG